rnacentral:rRNA from 1 species
UAGGGAAUCUUCGGCAAUGGGCGAAAGCCUGACCGAGCGACGCCGCGUGAGGGACGAUGGUCUUCGGAUUGUAAACCUCUGUCUAGGGGGACGAGGAAGGACGGUACCCCUGGAGGAAGCCCCGGCUAACUACGUGCCAGCAGCCGCGGUAAUACGUAGGGGGCGAGCGUUGUCCGGAAUCACUGGGCGUAAAGGGCGCGCAGGCGGCCAUGUAAGUCAGGUGUGAAAGGCCGAGGCUCAACUUCGGUUAGACGUCUGAUACUGCGUGGCUUGAGGGCAAGAGAGGGAAGUGGAAUUCCCGGUGUAGCGGUGAAAUGCGUAGAUAUCAGGAGGAACACCGGUGGCGAAGGCGACCUUCUGGCCUGUUACUGACGCUGAGGCGCGAAAGCUGGGGGGAGCGAACG